rnacentral:rRNA from 1 species
UACAGAGGUCCCAAGCGUUGUUCGGAUUUACUGGGCGUAAAGCGUGUGUAGGCGGACCUUUAAGUAGAAAGUGAAAGGUUGGUGCUCAACACCAACAUUGCUCUCUAUACUGGAGGUCUUGAGUGUCGGAGAGGAAGAUGGAACUGCACGUGUAGCGGUGAAAUGCGUUGAGAUGUGCAGGAACACCAAUGGCGAAGGCAAUCUUCUGGACGAAAACUGACGCUGAGACACGAAAGCCAAGGUAGCAAACAGG